GUCAUGCCAUAGCUGCUAUAAAGAAAACAACUGGCUCUCCUCUUCCAUGUCACUGUGAGGGGUCUUGAAAAAUCUCAUCCAAGAAAAUCACAAGGAAAUUCAUUGGAGCAUCUAUGGCUUUGCAUUGCCCUUCAGAAGCAAGAUAAAAUGACUGCACCCAGCAGGACAGAAUAAAUACAUAGCUCUUAAAGUAUUUGGGUUUUAAUCUGAUUCAAAACAUUUGCUGUUGAUUAAAUCCUUUUGCAAAUUGAAAAUUUCAUGCUAUCCAUACCGAGAGGAAUAUAAAAACACAAAACCAAAUCAAAACAAGGAUGACUCAAGGAUUUCAUGAGCAACUUUUGUGAAGACUCAGCUGCAGCCUUCUUUAUCCAUGAAAGAACAUGAAAGCCUCAAGGGCAAUAGUUUCAGUGUUUUGGAAUGAAUUCUGAUGAAUAAAAUCUCAAGAAUGAACUGAUGGAGAUGGCUGGGACCUGGCAGCCUUAACUGCUAGAGACUGAUAUGCUAAGUGGAGGAGCCCUCUCUGGACAGCCGUGCGAGGAAGCGGGCUAGCGUCUAAACACUCGCAGCCUGAUGAUCAAGUGAGCGCCGACGACGACGCAAUUUUUUCCAAUUUGCCUCGAAAUAAAGCGAUGAAGGCGUAAACAUUAUAUAGCAAGGAGACGUGCCUUCUUAGGAAUAAUGGGCCUCGCUUGCUGGCUGCAGGGAGGGCCAGUGAAGGUCUGCUGCCGCUCCGAUCUUCAUGCUCAGUAGUAGCAGCAGGGCGGAUGGGGAAAGGGAAAACUAAGAGAAAGUGAGUGGUAACAUUUUGCAGUCAAAGCUGCCAACCUCACACUUUGGGAGAUGUCAUUUUGAAGGAACUUGCAGGAGGGUUUCUUUUUCCUUGCUUCUCCUUAGAGAAAUCGAGCUCUACUUUAGAAAACUUAGAAGCCAUAAUAAAUUCUAAAGAUGACACUAAAAAUCGCUUGUUAUGCUCUCCCCAGGGAGAACCAUGAAUAACCUUUUGGUGCAUUCCUUUCCAGGAAUUUUCUCUACGUACAUCCAUUUAUUUACGAAAUUUGGCUGCUUCACGUUGAGCAUUUGUACAACUAGAUUUUCAACUCCUAGA